rnacentral:misc_RNA from 1 species
UCUCCGUUGGUGAACCAGCGGAGGGAUCAUUACCGAGUUUACAACUCCCAAACCCCUAUGUGAACGUUACCAAACUGUUGCCUCGGCGGGAAAUUCAUGCCCCGGGCGCGUCGCAGCCCCGGACCAAGGCGCCCGCCGGAGGACCAACCAAAACUCUUUUGUAUGUCCCUCGCGGACUUUUAUAAUUCUGAACCAUCUCGGCGCCCCUAGCGGGCGUUUCGAAAAUGAAUCAAAACUUUCAACAACGGAUCUCUUGGUUCCG